GCCCAGCCCCGGGCCCGCACUGUCCCUUAUAUACCCCCAGCCAGGGCGGCUGCCAUGUCACAAAGGACUGUGGCCACCACAAUGUCCUGCAGUGUCACCGAGGGCUGUGACACAAGGUGCCUGUGCCACAAAGGCCACCCCGGCACGCCUGGAGCAGCCGAAGGCUCUGGGAAUGGCUGGAGCAGGGCCGGCCUUGGGGCUCGCAGCCCCUGGGUGUGAGGUGCUGAGUGAAAUGUAACUGUGAAGACUGUAACAUGGAAUAUAUUUCCAGUUUUGGGUGCUGCCCUCAGGGAUAAGGUGAAACCAAAUACUGAAACUUUGGAAGGAACAAAUGAAAGGUUCACACUCCUGAAAAAUGAAUUUUGAGGUAUGGUGGAGGUGAGACAUAAAGAAUUGAACAUGUGUCAGAAGGAGGAGAUAGAAAUGUCUUGUGUUUCCUGUUCCUGGUUAGACAGGGAGCAGGAAGUGUGAGCUGGAGAAGGAAAGUUUAGUACAGAUAUUAAAAAAAUGCACCAAAAACUUAAUCAGACUGAUUAGGGACUGUUGUCCAUGUUUCAGUUUCAAAGGUCUUUAAUUACACAUUAGGCUGAGCAAUAACUGAGGGGAAGUGGGUGUUCUGAACAACCUCCCCAAGGUGUGUGCUACCUCUUUGUCUGUCUUGCCCUCGGGUUAUGCUGCAUUAUUUCCUUCUGGUUUUUCACCUUUCAUGACAGCCUAAAGUCUCCCUGGCCCUUUGUCAAACUGCCUGGUGCUCCACAGGGAAGGAAUUCAGGCUAAUUAGGUCAAGUCCUUCAGGUCUGCUUCCAGUGUGCUUUUCAGUUUUUUUCCUUUUAGAUGUUCCAUGAUCAACUCAGUGCUGACACAUGUAUUUUAACAAUAACAGCAAACCUUUCCACUCAGAAUGGUAUGUUUAUUUCUUGGCUUCCCAGUGUACUUCAAAAAAUAAAGAUCC